AUCGCUUCUCGGCCUUUUGGCUAAGAUCAAGUGUAAAAAUGUGACUAGUACGUAAGAAUUGAAAGCAGGAAUAGCAAAUUGAAAAUGUAAUGAAAUAAUUAUAUUUGAUGCAUUAGAUGUUCUUAAAAAAACAUCUAGAACUUCCAACUUUCCAUAUCACACUGAAUGGUAAAGCUGUACACUUU